UGGAUCUUUCAGAACUGGCAUGUAGCAGCCGGAACACAAUGAGAAGUUCUCCAGCCUGUUUCUCACUACAGAAUCAUGACGAGCAAAGAUCAGAGAAAAGACUUGCCAAGCAUUGCAAGGGAACACAAUGCAGGAGCGUCACCUCACUCUCCAUGAGGUUAGAUUUAUAUUCUUUCUAAACACCAUGCUCCCCGUCAAGUGGCUGCCUCAGCAACACAUCCUCUCAUAAGACAGCUUGCAGAGAAACAUCCCACGAUGCAACGGAGUCUCCAAAGAAACCAGGAAGUCCCACC
rnacentral:lncRNA from 1 species